CAGCUCCUGAAGCCCCAGCAGGCAUGUGU
rnacentral:piRNA from 1 species